AUUUUUCACUAACGAAAUCUUAGACGUUGUAAAUUUAUAUGAUUCAAGGGACACAACCGUCUUAACAGGAUUUGAUUGCACGAGAGAAGUAGAAGAUGACGAUCGCUUACUGGCCGAAGAUGUACUAGCACUUUCUGAGUUGCUUUCCGACCUAGUAGAAGAUGGAAUAGUGGAAGAAGAGGAGGUUAAUCCACUCGUGGUUGACGAGCUCAAAGAUGACUCAGGUUUAACGGUCAAGGAAUUUGUAUUAAUAGAAGAAAUUGAUUCGCUUAAGGUUGAUGAACUCGAAAACGUCUUGGGUUCUGUAGACAAGGUAUUUGAAGAAGCAGAAGAAGCAAUAUAGCUUGAUGCUGUAGAUACUGAACUGGUUAAAGAAGGUUUCAAAGUGGAUGAAGUGACUGUAAUGUUCGACGAAUAUGAUGUAGUUCCUUCGUUACGAGAACUGGAACUUGGGAUAGAAUAGCUAGUAGACCCCGAAUUCGA